AAAAAAUUCCCAUUUGAAAAAAACAAAGUUGUAGUGCAUGCUGCAUGAGAUGUGCAGAAAAAAUUUUAAUAAUAGAUUUUAAUUUGGAAGGAAAAAGUAACAGGAUAUGCUUUACAAUUUUUCAUUUAUGAUAGUUUUCGUGAAAAUUCCUAAGCCACAGAAACCUGUGUUUCAAAUUAUGCAUUUCUUAAUGAUUUCUUUAUUGCUAGGUAUUUCUGAAAUAUCACUCAUAGGAAAAUAAUUCUACCAUGGAAAUUGCAAAAAUAUUAGCAGAAUCAGAUUUUUCAAAAAUAUAUUUCCAUUUAAAAAAGCAAAGUUGUAGCUUGUACUAUACAAGAAGAUGCACAAAAAAAAUAACAACAGAUUUUAAUUUAACAGGAUAUGUGUUUUACAAUUUUUUCAUAUGUCCAAUAGUUUUCAUAAAAAAUAACUGGUCCAUUGAAAUGAGAAAUAACUGGUCCAUAGAAAUUACCCUGUAUAUUACAAAGUAUAUUCAAAUGUAAAUUGUAAUUGUGAAUCACAGAAAAAUGUCAUAAUUUUUCAAUGUAGUCACUCCUUUUGAAAUGCAUAGAUCACCUGUCUGGUAGUUUAUGUAUUCCAAUGAAAAAAUUCUUUUGGCUGGAGCCACUCUCAAACAGGUUUGAUGACUUCUUCAUUAUUGUAUAUGAAGUUUUUCCCUCCUGAAAACUCCUUUAAAAGUCCAAAGAAAUGAAAGUCUGAUGGGGCAAGAUUUGGAUUAUAUGGUGAAUACUCAUCCUCAUUAUCAUAUCUGUCCAACAAUGCUUGGCAUAUCUGGCAUAUUCUUGUCUAUUUAUGUUGGUUAAUUAGGAACCAAGGAAUCCAAUGAGCACACACUUUCCAAUAUUACAGUUUAUCUAUCCUUCAUGAUAUUAUCCACACUAUCAAUGCUGAUAUUCAGAAUUGAGACAAUAUCUUUCACGAAUAACUCAUCAGUUUGCUCAACCAUCUCUGUCAUUGUCUUUGUUCUCAGGCAUCAUGAAUGAGGUUUAUUUUUGACAUGUUUAUAAUCUUCUUAGAAAGUCUUACAACCAUUUAUAAAUGAUUACAUCAGACAAUGUGGCUUCACAAAACUGUAUUUUCAAUCUUUUACAAAUUUAAAAUGGUUUCACUCUUUCUGUGAUAAAAAAUUUGAUGAUGAUACAUUGUUCCAUGCUUGGAUGAAUUCACUUAUUACUAUUACUUCCAGUGAAAUAUAAGUUAACUGUUAAAUGAGAGAUUCAAGGUUGGAGAGAGACCAAAACCUUACAUAAUUGCUUUGGUUACUGUGCAUACACAACUAUUUGGGCAGACAAUCCAAAUUAUAAUUUAAAUUUGAAUUAAUUUCUACAUUUUCGCUAUUGCUCUAUGAGGAAUCAUACAUCUAUUCUCAAAGAUUGUAUGAUUCCUAAUAGGGCUUAUGCUCAUUUAGAAAUCAUACAGUCCUUGAGAAUUUCAAUCUAUGCUCAUUCAUGCUAAGAUAUAUCCUUGAGAACAGACGAGGGUAUAAAUAAAACUGAAUUACAAAAACUACUAUAGAGUUUUAAAGAAAUGAAUCAUCAGAACAAAUUCGAUAUUAAUCAACUC
rnacentral:lncRNA from 1 species